UACGUAGGGUGCGAGCGUUGUCCGGAAUUAUUGGGCGUAAAGAGCUUGUAGGCGGUCUGUCGCGUCUGCUGUGAAAAUCCGGGGCUCAACCCCGGACUUGCAGUGGGUACGGGCAGACUAGAGUGUGGUAGGGGAGACUGGAAUUCCUGGUGUAGCGGUGAAAUGCGCAGAUAUCAGGAGGAACACCGAUGGCGAAGGCAGGUCUCUGGGCCACUACUGACGCUGAGAAGCGAAAGCAUGGGGAGCGAGCAGG
rnacentral:rRNA from 1 species